AGCGAACGCUGGCGGCAGGCUUAACACAUGCCAGUCGAGCGGGCACUUUCGGGUGUCAGCGGCGGACGGGUGAGUAACGCGUGGGAACGUGCCCUCUGGUUCGGAAUAACUCAGGGAAACUUGAGCUAAUACCGGAUACGCCCUUUUGGGGAAAGGCUUGCUGCCGGAGGAUCGGCCCGCGUCUGAUUAGCUAGUUGGUGAGGUAACGGCUCACCAAGGCGACGAUCAGUAGCUGGUCUGAGAGGAUGAUCAGCCACACUGGGACUGAGACACGGCCCAGACUCCUACGGGAGGCAGCAGUGGGGAAUAUUGGACAAUGGGCGCAAGCCUGAUCCAGCCAUGCCGCGUGAGUGAUGAAGGCCUUAGGGUUGUAAAGCUCUUUUAUCCGGGACGAUAAUGACGGUACCGGAGGAAUAAGCCCCGGCUAACUUCGU
rnacentral:rRNA from 1 species